rnacentral:lncRNA from 1 species
CAGUAGCCAUUACUUCUUCAUGCAAGUCGUGGAACAACUCGGCAGCAAAUCUGAUCAAAAUGAUACAGUUAAAUGCAGAGAACUUAACAGCAGCUGGUAAUUGUAAAACUUGUAAUUUAAAAUUUAAAAUGUUAAAUGUUGAUGCCAAGACUACAAAUUUGAACUAAUUUUCUAAUAUUCACUGCAGGGAACAGAAUGCCAUGACCACCACACCUCUGAUGACACAUAUAAAAUUUCUUACCAUAUGCAUUUGAGUUAAAAUCACAAGAUUAUUGAGCUACCUAGGUUCAAUUCAGGUGGUUGAUGAGAACAUUGUGGACAACAGAUCCUAAGAUUGACCAUUGUAUUGUUAAUACUCACAUCGUA